AUGCUAUGGAAGUCACUCCCAAAGUGUUCCUUUUUCAUUAGGGAAUGUGUAAAUUCACAUCCAUGGACACCCGGUUUGAAGCAGUGGUCAUGCCCAGGCCACGGAGGCAGUCAGUGGAUGAGAUGGCUCCAGGAAACAACACCACAAAGUUAUCAGCGUGAAGUGGAUGAUGAUGUGGUGUCAUUCCCAGAAAGUCUUCUGCUGUUGCUAUCUCGUGAUGCAUCUUGACAGUGUGAUGGCAUCCCGCAGCUCUCUGUGCAUCUUCAGCUCUGUAAGCCUGUGCUCUGUGAAUUCACUGGAGUCAUUUGGACUAUGUUGAUGUGCACCAGUGGAGGACCUGACUCACUCUCUGGUGGCUGCUGUGUGAGCGAUUCGUAUCCUUUGAGUUAAUGAUCCUGGACCUUUAUUCCUCUCUUCUUUCCUCUCAUUUUUUCAGACAUGCCACCUAUUAUUU
rnacentral:lncRNA from 1 species